UUUUUAGUAUAAGUAUAUCCCAUUCAAUAUUUGGGACAUACUUAUGCUAAAA
rfam:Equus caballus chromosome 18, whole genome shotgun sequence.